rnacentral:rRNA from 1 species
AUGAACGCUGGCGGCGUGCCUAAUCCAUGCCCGUCGAGCGAACGGACGAGAAGCUUGCUUCUCUGAUGUUAGCGGCGGACGGGUGAGUAACACGUGGAUAACCUACCUAUAAGACUGGGAUAACUUCGGGAAACCGGAGCUAAUACCGGCUAAUAUUUUGAACCGCAUGGUUCAAAAGUGAAAGACGGUCUUGCUGUCACUUAUAGAUGGAUCCGCGCUGCAUUAGCUAGUUGGUAAGGUAACGGCUUACCAAGGCAACGAUGCAUAGCCGACCUGAGAGGGUGAUCGGCCACACUGGAACUGAGACACGGUCCAGACUCCUACGGGAGGCAGCAGUAGGGAAUCUUCCGCAAUGGGCGAAAGCCUGACGGAGCAACGCCGCGUGAGUGAUGAAGGUCUUCGGAUCGUAAAACUCUGUUAUUAGGGAAGAACAUAUGUGUAAGUAACUGUGCACAUCUUGACGGUACCUAAUCAGAAAGCCACGGCUAACUACGUG